rnacentral:rRNA from 1 species
AGUGAACGCUGGCGGUAGGCCUAACACAUGCAAGUCGAACGGCAGCACAGUAAGAGCUUGCUCUUACGGGUGUCGAGUGGCGGACGGGUGAGGAAUACAUCGGAAUCUACUUUUUCGUGGGGGAUAACGUAGGGAAACUUACGCUAAUACCGCAUACGACCUACGGGUGAAAGCAGGGGAUCUUUGGACCUUGCGCGAUUGAAUGAGCCGAUGUCGGAUUAGCUAGUUGGCGGGGUAAAGGCCCACCAAGGCGACGAUCCGUAGCUGGUCUGAGAGGAUGAUCAGCCACACUGGAACUGAGACACGGUCCAGACUCCUACGGGAGGCAGCAGUGGGGAAUAUUGGACAAUGGGCGCAAGCCUGAUCCAGCCAUACCGCGUGGGUGAAGAAGGCCUUCGGGUUGUAAAGCCCUUUUGUUGGGAAAGAAAAGCAGCAGGUUAAUACCCCGCUGUUCUGACGGUACCCAAAGAAUAAGCACCGGCUAACUUCGUG